AAUACAUGCAAGUCGAACGGCAGCACAGCAGAGCUCGCUCUGUGGGUGGCGAGUGGCGGACGGGUGAGGAAUACGUAGGAAUCUGCCCUUAAGUGGGGGAUAACCAGGGGAAACCCUGACUAAUACCGCAUGAUCUCUUCGGAGCAAAGAGGGGGACCGCAAGGCCUCUCGCUUCUGGAUGAGCCUACGUCUGAUUAGCUAGUUGGUAGGGUAAAGGCCUACCAAGGCGACGAUCAGUAACUGGUCUGAGAGGAUGAUCAGUCACACCGGAACUGAGACACGGUCCGGACUCCUACGGGAGGCAGCAGUGGGGAAUAUUGGACAAUGGGCGCAAGCCUGAUCCAGCAAUGCCGCGUGUGUGAAGAAGGCCUUCGGGUUGUAAAGCACUUUAGCCUGGAAAGAAAAAACUUUGGUUAACACCCAAAGUCUUGACGGUACCAGGAGAAUAAGCACCGGCUAACUCUGUGCCAGCAGCCGCGGUAAUAC
rnacentral:rRNA from 1 species